AUUGCGCGGCAGGUAGUUGACGAAAACAAACCCCCGCAUCUGGUCGAUACAAUGGAACAGCGGGUUCCAAUCGAACAUUGCCAACAUAUAGGCGGGCAGGGUGUUGGCCACGAACAUCUUGCCCGAGGCGAUCAUAUUGGCCCGCUG
rnacentral:ncRNA from 1 species